rnacentral:misc_RNA from 1 species
UACGAAGGGGGCUAGCGUUGUUCGGAAUUACUGGGCGUAAAGCGCGCGUAGGCGGGCUAUUAAGUCAGGGGUGAAAUCCCGGGGCUCAACCUCGGAAUUGCCUCUGAUACUGGUAGCCUAGAGUCCGUGAGAGGUGAGUGGAACUCCGAGUGUAGAGGUGAAAUUCGUAGAUAUUCGGAAGAACACCAGUGGCGAAGGCGGCUCACUGGCACGGUACUGACGCUGAGGUGCGAAAGCGUGGGGAGCAAACAGG